rnacentral:lncRNA from 12 species
UUCGAGCUGUGUCAAAUCAUGCUGUUCCUGCUUAUUUACCUGUCCUAGCUCCAUCCAGCUGGUUUGGGAAUGCCAAGUGUUGCUAAAAUAGAAAUGAGCAGUGUGAAGCUGCUCACUCGCCCAUCUCCCUCCAGUGGGUCUGGCCCUCUUGCCACGCACAGCGAGCUCUCAGCACUGCAGGCUCCAUUCUCCUCGGGAACUUUGCC